UGAGCUUGAUCCUCUAUUUGA
rnacentral:piRNA from 1 species